rnacentral:rRNA from 1 species
AUUGAACGCUGGCGGCAGGCCUAACACAUGCAAGUCGAGCGGAUGAAGGGAGAUUGCUCCUGGAUUCAGCGGCGGACGGGCGAGUAAUGCCUAGGAAUCUGCCUGGUAGUGGGGGAUAACGUCCGGAAACGGGCGCUAAUACCGCAUACGUCCUGAGGGAGAAAGUGGGGGAUCAUCGGACCUCACGCUAUCAGAUGAGCCUAGGUCGGAUUAGCUAGUUGGUGGGGUAAAGGGCUACCAAGGCGACGAUCCGUAACUGGUCUGAGAGGAUGAUCAGUCACACUGGAACUGAGACACGGUCCAGACUCCUACGGGAGGCAGCAGUGGGGAAUAUUGGACAAUGGGCGAAAGCCUGAUCCAGCCAUGCCGCGUGUGUGAAGAAGGUCUUCGGAUUGUAAAGCACUUUAAGUUGGGAAGAAGAGCAGUAAGUUAAUACCUUGCUGUUUUGACGUUACCAACAGAAUAAGCACCGGCUAACUUCGUG